CAAUAGCGUAUAUUAAAGUUGUUGCAGUUAAAAAGCUCGUAGUCGGAUUUCUGGUGGGAGCGAUCGGUCUGGCGCUUAGCGCGAGUACUUGCAUCGUCUCCGGCCAUCCUUGGGGAGAGUCUGUCUGGCAUUAGGUUGUCGGGCAGAGGAUCCUCAUCGUUUACUGUGAAAAAAUUAGAGUGUUCAAAGCAGGCUUAUGCCGUUGAAUAUAUUAGCAUGGAAUAAUAAGAUAGGACUUUGGUACUAUUUUGUUGGUUUGCGCACCAAAGUAAUGAUUAAUAGGGACAGUUGGGGGUAUUCGUAUUCCGUUGUCAGAGGUGAAAUUCUUGGAUUUACGGAAGACGAACUACUGCGAAAGCAUCUACCAAGGAUGUUUUCAUUAA
rnacentral:rRNA from 1 species